rnacentral:rRNA from 1 species
AUUGAACGCUGGCGGCAGGCCUAACACAUGCAAGUCGAACGAGUGGCGGACGGGUGAGUAAUGUCUGGGAAACUGCCUGAUGGAGUGGGAUAACUACUGGAAACGGUAGCUAAUACCGCAUACCAUCGGAUGUGCCCAGCUGGGAUUAGCUAGUAGGAGGGGUAACGGCUCACCUCGGCGACGAUCCCUAGCUGGGCUGAGAGGAUGACCAGCCACACUGGAACGUAGACACGGUCCAGACUCCGACGAGAGGAAGCAGUGGGGAAUAUUGCACAAUGGGCGCAAGCCUGAUGCAGCCAUGCCGCGGGUAUGAAGAAGGCCUUCGGGUUGUAAAGUACUUUCAGCGGGGAGGCGUUACCCGCAGAAGAAGCACCGGCUAACUCCGUGCCAGCAGCCGCGGUAAUUC